rnacentral:rRNA from 1 species
UAAACGUCCCAGUUCGGAUUGUAGUCUGCAACCCGACUACAUGAAGCUGGAAUCGCUAGUAAUCGCGGAUCAGAAUGCCGCGGUGAAUACGUUCCCGGGUCUUGUACACACCGCCCGUCACACCAUGGGAGUCGGAAAUGCCCGAAGUCGGUGACCUAACUGAAAGGAAGGAGCCGCCGAAGGCAGGUCUGGUGACUGGGGUGAAGUCGUAACAAGGUAAC